UACGGAGGGGGCUAGCGUUGUUCGGAAUUACUGGGCGUAAAGCGCACGUAGGCGGCUUCGCAAGUCAGAGGUGAAAGCCCGGGGCUCAACCCCGGAACUGCAUUUGAGACUGCGUCGCUCGAAUCCGGGAGAGGCGGGUGGAAUUCCCGGUGUAGAGGUGAAAUUCGUAGAGAUUCGGAAGAACACCAGUGGCGAAGGCGGCCCGCUGGACCGGCAUUGACGCUGAGGUGCGAAAGCGUGGGGAGCAAACAGG
rnacentral:rRNA from 1 species